rnacentral:lncRNA from 10 species
AGGAAACAUAGCCUGGCUCUGUGAAGGAAUACUGCUGUGACCGCAAAACUGUUUCUGUAGAAUUUUCUCCGGUGUGGUCAUCCUGCCUUCAGGAGGAAAAUAGAGCAAAAAGGUAGAACUUACUUCCACACCCAAGUUUCUCCUGAAAGCACUGUGCCUGUUUUGUUUGCUACACAUCUUGGGUAUGUAUGUUUGCAUCUAUGCAUGCAGGCAUGCAUGAGUUAUUUAUGUGUGUUAUUUGGUCCAGCCUUGAAGCUCCUUUUAUUUUUCAGUGAAUUGAAAGAAGGUAACCUUUGGAUGUAUAUAUUUUAGUGCUCCAGCAGAUUACCAGUGAAACAUGCCGACUCUCACCAAACCACCCCAUGUUGCCAAAUCUUCUCUCUUGGCC